UCCCUGGUGGCUUAGACUGGUAAAGCGUCUGCUUAUAAUGCAGGAGACCUGGGUUCGAUCCCUGGGUUGGGAA
rnacentral:tRNA from 1 species